rnacentral:misc_RNA from 1 species
GAUGAAGAACGUAGCGAAAUGCGAUAAGUAGUGUGAAUUGCAGAAUUCAGUGAAUCAUCGAAUCUUUGAACGUACAUUGCGCCCUUUGGUAUUCCUUAGGGCAUGCCUGUUCGAGCGUCAUUUCAACCAUCAAGCCCCCGGCUUGUGUUGGGGACCUGCGGCUGCCGCAGGCCCUGAAAUGCAGUGGCGGGCUCGCUGUCACUCCGAGCGUAGUAGUUACAUCUCGCUCUGGGCGUGCUGCGGGUUCCGGCCGUUAAAAGCCUUAUUUACCCAAGGUUGACCUCGGAUCAGGUAGGAAGACCCGCUGAACUUAAGCAUAUCAAUAAGCGGAGGA